rnacentral:rRNA from 1 species
UACGGGGGGAGCAAGCGUUGUUCGGAUUUACUGGGCGUAAAGGGCGCGUAGGCGGCCCGCACAAGUCUGCGGGGAAAACCCCCGGCUUAACCGGGGGCCGGCCGUGGAAACUGUCGGGCUAGAGGCCGGGAGAGGGCAGCGGAAUUCCUGGUGUAGCGGUGGAAUGCGCAGAUAUCAGGAGGAACACCGAUGGCGAAGGCAGCUCGCUGGGACGGUACUGACGCUGAGGCGCGAAAGCGUGGGGAGCGAACAGG